GCAGAGUCAGCCUUAGGAAUGUUUGAGUGACACAGGUGGGAAGUGUGUGUCCAGUGGGUGUGUCUACAGAUCUGCUCAGACCUUUCUACCUGUCAGCUCUCUUACAGGGCCCGGGAGAUUUUCAGU
rnacentral:precursor_RNA from 7 species